UACGUAGGGUGCGAGCGUUUAAUCGGAAUUACUGGGCGUAAAGCGUGCGCAGGCGGUUUUGUAAGCCAGAUGUGAAAUCCCCGGGCUUAACCUGGGAAUGGCAUUUGGGACUGCAAGGCUCGAGUGCGGCAGAGGAGACUGGAAUUCCUGGUGUAGCGGUGAAAUGCGCAGAUAUCAGGAGGAACACCGGUGGCGAAGGCGGAUCUCUGGGCCUUGCCUGACGCUGAGGCGCGAAAGCUAGGGGAGCGAACAGG
rnacentral:rRNA from 1 species